UGGGGGAUAUUGCACAAUGGGCGAAAGCCUGAUGCAGCGACGCCGCGUGGGGGAUGAAGGCUUUCGGGUUGUAAACCUCUUUCGCUAUCGAACAAGGCCCGCUUAGGGUGGGUUGAGGGUAGGUGGAGAAGAAGCGCCGGCUAACUACGUGCCAGCAGCCGCGGUAAUACGUAGGGCGCGAGCGUUGUCCGGAAUUAUUGGGCGUAAAGGGCUUGUAGGCGGCUUGUUGCGCCUGCUGUGAAAACGCGGGGCUUAACUUCGCGCGUGCAGUGGGUACGGGCAGGCUUGAGUGUGGUAGGGGUGACUGGAAUUCCAGGUGUAGCGGUGGAAUGCGCAGAUAUCUGGAGGAACACCGAUGGUGAAGGCAGGUCACUGGGCCAUUACUGACGCUGAGGAGCGAAAGCAUGGGUAGCGAACAGG
rnacentral:rRNA from 1 species